UACGGAGGGUGCAAGCGUUAAUCGGAAUCACUGGGCGUAAAGCGCACGCAGGUGGCUGAGUCAGUCGAGUGUGAAAGCCCUGGGCUUAACCUGGGAAUUGCAGUCGAUACUACUCAGCUAGAGUAUGGGAGAGGGCAGUGGAAUUCCCGGUGUAGCGGUGAAAUGCGUAGAUAUCGGGAGGAACAUCAGUGGCGAAGGCGGCUGCCUGGCCCAAUACUGACACUCAGGUGCGACAGCGUGGGGAGCAAACAGG
rnacentral:rRNA from 1 species